UGGGGAAUAUUGGACAAUGGGCGCAAGCCUGAUCCAGCCAUGCCGCGUGAGUGAUGAAGGUCUUAGGAUUGUAAAGCUCUUUCACCGGAGAAGAUAAUGACGGUAUCCGGAGAAGAAGCCCCGGCUAACUUCGUGCCAGCAGCCGCGGUAAUACGAAGGGGGCUAGCGUUGUUCGGAAUUACUGGGCGUAAAGCGCACGUAGGCGGAUAUUUAAGUCAGGGGUGAAAUCCCAGAGCUCAACUCUGGAACUGCCUCUGAUACUGGGUAUCUUGAGUAUGGAAGAGGUGAGUGGAAUUGCGAGUGUAGAGGUGAAAUUCGUAGAUAUUCGCAGGAACACCAGUGGCGAAGGCGGCUCACUGGUCCAUAACUGACGCUGAGGUGCGAAAGCGUGGGGAGCAAACA
rnacentral:rRNA from 1 species